rnacentral:lncRNA from 1 species
UGUCAAGCCAGCCAUGCUUCACUGAACUCCCUUCCACUUUGUUGCCAUGCUUCCUCUUUCUGGUUAAGUGAACCUCAAAACAAUGACAAAGAAAUAUGCCCCCGAGUCACAUAUUCUAAGAAAUAGACUGUACUCUCCUCAAAUCGAAAUAAAGGCACUUUAAUUCUUUGGAUUUUUCCACAUUUUCGUUGCUAAAGCUCCUAUUUGCUUUCUUUGAAUCUGUAUCAGUUCAUGCAAGUUCUACCAGGGGGGGAAGCGACACAAGACCCUGCCACUUUAGCACGUGAAAUAUUAAGAUGAACAGAGCCCGUAAAAGUGUCUUGUCUGGUGCUGAAGCUGCAGCCCCAGCUUCUAUUGGAGUCUCUGGCCAGCAUUGGGGAGCUCUCACAGCCACCCCUGCUUGACCUGGUCCAGUCUGGACAAACACGUGCAUGCUAUGCCUCUGUGUCUCAUGAAACUGUACUAUACCUGCUGGACUGAAUGGAAAUCGACAGAUUCAUCUCCUGAGGAUGGCCGUAUCUGUGGUGGACAAGCAAGUCCUCCUCUACAUCCAAAAGAAGCUUGAUCUUACCCUUUAGAAUCCAUUUUACAUCAAAGUGGGGAACCUGGAAAUAUUGAAUGUCCUCUGAGUUCAUGGGGCUUUGGCAGUGGGAAAGCUAAACAAAACGGAGCACAGAGAGAGUGUGAGACAGACUUUCCCAAGAUCCCCAGGUGGGUUUCAUAUACUGCCUACCUCAAGAGUGAGUCUGGUUCAGCUUCCCACAGUGGCCAUAAGGGCCAAAUUAUCUUACCCCAGCUAUUGUUCGCUGCUAGAGCCAGAUCUACAAAG